AUGCAGCCGAUCAACAGCAGAACUCUGCUAGAGGAGGUGAACGACAGCGACAUACCCAUGGAGCCUCUGCACUAUCCUGUUAGGCCGCUGCCGGACGGGGAGGUGCCAGCGGCGACCGCCUCUAGUGCGGACGAAUCUGUGCUGCGGAGGCAGGGACCUCAAGAUCUAACCUGUAUUCGGGCGUUCUGUUCAUGCAGCAGAACUCUGCUAGAGGAGGUGAACGACAGCGACAUACCCAUGGAGCCUCUGCACUAUCCUGUUAGGCCGCUGCCGGACGGGGAGGUGCCAGCGGCGACCGCCUCUAGUGCGGACGAAUCUGUGCUGCGGAGGCAGGGACGGCAGAUAAAGCUCAAGCAUCUGAACACUACAUAG
rnacentral:rRNA from 1 species